rnacentral:rRNA from 1 species
GCGAACGCUGGCGGCAGGCCUAACACAUGCAAGUCGAACGAACUCUUCGGAGUUAGUGGCGGACGGGUGAGUAACACGUGGGAACGUGCCUUUUGGUUCGGAAUAACUCAGGGAAACUUGUGCUAAUACCGAAUGUGCCCUUCGGGGGAAAGAUUUAUCGCCAUUAGAGCGGCCCGCGUCUGAUUAGCUAGUUGGUGAGGUAACGGCUCACCAAGGCGACGAUCAGUAGCUGGUCUGAGAGGAUGACCAGCCACACUGGGACUGAGACACGGCCCAGACUCCUACGGGAGGCAGCAGUGGGGAAUCUUGCGCAAUGGGCGAAAGCCUGACGCAGCCAUGCCGCGUGAAUGAUGGAGGUCUUAGGAUUGUAAAAUUCUUUCACCGGGGACGAUAAUGACGGUACCCGGAGAAGAAGCCCCGGCUAACUUCGUG